ACCACUGCACUUACCACUCAGAGGUCUGAUAGCCUCCUUUUCCCCCCAGCAAGGCUGUGACGAGCAGCAGUAAGAGCACACCACCCUUGCAUGAUGAGGUUACUCCCUAAAGUUUAAGCCAACAAUAAAUAAACAAUUAAGAUUGCUAUAAAAACUCUGUGAAGUUUAUAGACGUCUCAGCAAGUUUGAGGAUCUGUAAUCCUCAAGCUGUUUUAAGCUUGUAACAUUUUCCUGAACUCAAAGAUUAAUAUCUGUUCCAAUUUCUUCAAUUCCAGUUUUUGAGUUAUCAAAGUUCAUAGGAUUGCCUAUUGGUAAAAGCUACUGAAACUUUCCUCUGACCUCAAAUGACAGGCAGCCUGUGGUAUAUUUUACCAGAACUCAAGUUAAUUUUUGACCUUUCCUUUAUUCCUUCACUUUUCCCUACUCCCUGGUUACUUUAUACUUUGUCUUCAGUUUCUACUCUUUCUGGUUUUUCUCACGUGGUAUUUUUGUUCUUCUUUUUCAGAAACUUGUGCUCUGUUCCCAUGCUCCAUGUCUAUAUUAAUGUCUCUCUUACUGAGCAUUGCUGAGCAGUCAAGAUGAAGCUAGGAUCUAGAGCUAACAUUGUCCAAAUGGAUAUCAGAUGCCAACUGUACUUCUUUGAGUCACAGAGAACCAUCUGGUUAUCUGAGUUUGAUGUCAUGAUGUGCUGUGAUAUUAUUAGACUGCUUAGCUUGAUGCAUGAGAAGGAUACAGAUUUAAGAAACAGGAUCAGAGCGGCUGCCGGCAGCCAGCAGGCAACCAGAGCCAGCUCCCCCUGGAGCCGGCGCACAGGUGUGCUGCCUCCAACCAGCAGGCAAAGAUCUAUGACUUCUUUUAAUUAAGGAAUAAUCCCAUUACAUUACAAAAAGGACUUGCAGAAGGGGACAGGUUUUUCUCCAGCAUUUCUCCUCCUCGGCAAAACAUCACGGCUCUCCUUUCCCAGCACGCAGCAGCUGCUUUGCAUGACUUCUUGUCCUAUUUCUGAGCAAACCAGACCAAGGAGCACCAUCUUUGUGUGUGACUGGCAAAGAAGUUCCCUUCCCUUACAGUACAAGGAAACAAAAACUAAGAGGAAAGGAAGGAUGUUUUCUGGUAAGUGUGCAUUCAGUUGUGCUCUGCACCUCAGUCUAGCAGAGGAAGUGAUCGUUCUGGGGACAGCAGCAACUCAGCAUCUGUGAGGACAUGAGAGAUGGGCUGCACACAAGGGUGCUGAGAGAAGAGGUUACUGUUGUAGUGUCUGCUCUCUCUUGACUUUGAAAAAUCAUAGAGACCAGCAGAGAUGUCCCACACUCAGAGCAAGGCCAGUGUUGCGCCCACCUCCAGAAAUAGCUUAAGGACAAUAUAAUGAGUUGCCAAAGAAUGGGUAAAAAGGAUGUCUGGCCUGCCUUGACCAAAGGAGUACAGCUUUUAAUCAUACAAACUGCCCCAGCACUCCCCCAUUGUAUUCUUGCAUAAGGGGAAGUUAUGGAUACUAUUACAUUACCAAAAAGAAAAUAAUGUAGAAACAUGCAAUUCCGCUCUACAUUCCCAAAGAUGUAUUUGUAACUUCCGUACAAAAUACAAAAUCUUCAUGUGCUUAAAAUCUGCACAAGAUAAAACAGUCACCCCAAGUAAUCCACCUGCAACCCAGCCCAUUAGAAAAGCUCAUGUCAGGAUUAACAGACUAGAUCUGACAGAAAAAUCUUCUAGAAAAUAUAUACAUGGAUGCCCAACUUCUAAAAGCUUUUCUCAGCCCUACAGACAAUUCCUCUGAUAGGCCCAACACACCAGCCUUCUUUCCUUUCCUUAUCUCAACCAGCAAAUGAAUGUUAUUAAAUACACAAUCUUUCUUCAGUGGGCUACACAAACAAAAUAUGCACAAUUAAUUAAUGCUGCAGUCAUUUCUUUGAUCUUCCAAUGAAAACAAAAUUUAAAAGUCAUACUAUUUCAGCCUAGAAGCUUAGAGUUAAAAAGCUUAGGAACUCAUCCGGGACUUUGAAUCCAAGAAUCACUGGACUGAUGUCAUUAAAAGAGCUGAAUUAGACUUGUAAUUAUUCCCUUAUGAAUUCUGCCGUCUAUGUGAGAAAUAAGGGUAUUCAUUUCUGUCCUCAAAAUUGAUUUACUUUAGGGAAAAAAACAGAAGGGUUGGGGAGAGCAAGAGCUUGGCUUUACUGUGCAUCUGAUAGAAUACAAGGAAAUAAGUGUCAAUAGCAAACAAGAUCUCUGCCAGUCAAUAGGAGCUAUACCUUCUGUUUACACGGCAUGGCAGUUUCCCUGAGACCCUCAGCAUAAAUCCUAUCUCCACAGUUCCAGCUGGCUGUCCACUGCUUAGUGCACCAGCACUUCAUUAACAUGCAAAUGCUUGACAGUUAUUGGGCUUAAGUACAUCUGCAUAUUUAUAAACAGCCAUUCCAAACCACAUCCCCAUUUAAGGAAACUGCUUAAUGGCACUGAACCUAAAGUCUCUCUCAUACCCAUUAAACAAUAAACUGCAGCCAGAUUCACUUAUUUUGUAUUUU
rnacentral:lncRNA from 1 species